rnacentral:rRNA from 1 species
AGAACGAACGCUGGCGGCAUGCCUAACACAUGCAAGUCGAACGAGACCUUCGGGUCUAGUGGCGCACGGGUGCGUAACGCGUGGGAAUCUGCCCUUGGGUUCGGGAUAACAGUUGGAAACGACUGCUAAUACCGAAUGAUAUCUUCGGAUCAAAGAUUUAUCGCCCAGGGAUGAGCCCGCGUAGGAUUAGCUUGUGGUGAGGUAAGAGCUCACCAAGGCGACGAUCCUUAGCUGGUCUGAGAGGAUGAUCAGCCACACUGGGACUGAGACACGGCCCAGACUCCGUACGGGGGGCAGGCAGGUCGGGAAUAGUUGGACAAGUGGGACGAAA